rnacentral:rRNA from 1 species
GACGAACGCUGGCGGCGUGCUUAACACAUGCAAGUCGAACGGAAAGGCCCUGCUUUUGUGGGGUGCUCGAGUGGCGAACGGGUGAGUAGCACGUGAGUAACCUGCCCUUGACUUUGGGAUAACUUCAGGAAACUGGGGCUAAUACCGGAUAGGAGCUCCUGCUGCAUGGUGGGGGUUGGAAAGUUUCGGCGGUUGGGGAUGGACUCGCGGCUUAUCAGCUUGUUGGUGGGGUAGUGGCUACCAAGGCUUUGACGGGUAGCCGGCCUGAGAGGGUGACCGGCCACAUUGGGACUGAGAUACGGCCCAGACUCCUACGGGAGGCAGCAGUGGGGAAUAUUGCACAAUGGGCGGAAGCCUGAUGCAGCAACGCCGCGUGCGGGAUGACGGCCUUCGGGUUGUAAACCGCUUUCGCCUGUGACGAAGCGUGAGUGACGGUAAUGGGUAAAGAAGCACCGGCUAACUACGUG